rnacentral:rRNA from 1 species
GUCGUCGGGAAGGUAAUUCCAUGAUCGCUAUAAGAUGCACGAGAGCGAAAGCAUUUCACUCAAUUGCGUUCAUUAAUCAAGAACGAAAGUUAGGGGAUCGAAGACGAUCAGAUACCGUCGUAGUCCUAACUAUAAACGAUGUCAACCAAGGAUUGGAUUAGUUUUAGAGUGACAGAUGCUCGGUAACAUGGUUAUUGGGGCGAAGGAACUCGCUUCCACCUUAUUCAGAACUUAAAGAGAAAUCUUGAGUUUAUGGACUUCAGGGGGAGUAUGGUCACAAGGCUGAAACUUAAAGGAAUUGACGGAAGGGCACACCAGGAGUGGAGCCUGCGGCUUAAUUUGACUCAACACGGGAAAACUUACCAAGACCGAACAGUAUUAGGAAUGACAGAUUAAGGGUUCUUUCAUGAUUUAUUGGGUAGUGGUGCAUGGCCGUUCUUAGUUGGUGGAGUGAUUUGUCAGGUUAAUUCCGGUAACGAACGAGACUGAAACCUAUUAAUUAGUUUCUCGCCUAUACGACGAGAAUGUCCGCAAGGAUGGAUGCUUUUGUAUCACUUCUUAAAGGGACUAAUAUCAAGUGUCUCUCGGUUGAUUUGCGCCACUAUCUCGAUAGCAUCUUUUCAAUCAGAAAAAAAGAUAAUGGAAGCAUUCAGCAAUAACGGUCUGUGAUGCCCUUAGACAUCUUGGGCUGCACGCGCGCUACAUGGAGAUACUAGCGAGUAUUUGUCGGGAAGCUCAUUCUGUGCUCUGUCACGAGUGAGAUGUUCACGUGUACCGAGACUGAAAUAGUUUAGAAACUCAAAGAUCGUACAUGACAGGGAUAAAUGAUGGAAUUUUUGUUGCGAAGAAAAUAUACACAA